rnacentral:rRNA from 1 species
ACUCUGAUGCAGCCAUGCCGCGUGAGGGAUGAAGGUCUUCGGAUUGUAAACCUCUGUCUUUGGGGAAGAUAAUGACGGUACCCAAGGAGGAAGCCACGGCUAACUACGUGCCAGCAGCCGCGGUAAU